CAGAGAGAGGAAAGGAGGGAGGGAGGUGCAGCUGGAGCUCAGUCUCAGGGCUGCAAUAGCAAUCUGCCACACACAACAUGGCGGCGACCGGGACCCACGCCCCAUUUCCGUUUCCGGUGCUGAGCUAGGUCACUUCCUCUCCGGUUGCCUUGGGGUCCCUUGGAAGUUAAGAACGUGGGUAGUCUCUGCUCCUUUCCUCUUUCGUGUUCUUGUCUCUGCUCCAGCGCAACCUGGCAGCGUGGCUCCGAGGCCCUGCCCGCAGCAGCGGCUUGUCUGUGCAGCAGAAGCACUCGGGUAGCUGAAAAAAUCAUGGGAUCUUCUUAUUGGUACAACUUGCAUUAUUGUUUGUGUUAUAGUGCGAGGCAAGGGUGAACAGACAUUUCUCAAAUGCCCUACAACUUGACUUCUGGAAGUUAAAAGAGAAACAGGUUUGAACAAUUGGUACACCAAAACAGGAAGGCUGGGAAAGGUCAGGGGACCAAUUACCACCUAGAGUGGACCCUAAAACAUGAGAUGUGGUCAAGGACACGGAAUGGAGAGAGAUAAGGAUCCUGAGGCUUAAGGAAGUCAACGCAAGUGGCAGAACUGGGACUUUAAGCCAGGCCUGUCUAACUCGAAAGUGUGCGAUUUCCACAGCACCAAUCUUAUUCCCCUCCUGUGUGCCUAGCCCUGUGAUCAGUGCUGAGGACAUAGACCUGGAAGACACGUGAGCUCGUGCUACCAUCCAGAGGCCUUUGGAAGGGGCACUAGGCCUGGGGAAGAAGCUUUACUCGGGCAGUGCCCCUCCCUUGAGAAUCACUGAGAUGGUUUUUCUCAGGUCUUGACUGUGUCAGGGUGGAUUUGCCAGGUUGCCUUCAGUUACAAAUAGUUAACCAGAGAAAGAAACUAAUAUCGAUGGCAUGCUUGCUCUGCUUGUUGUUGGUUUGUCUUCAUCCCAGGCACCCUAGGAAGUGGGCAUAUUCUCUCCACUUAGCUCAUAAGGAGACUAAGGCUCAAAGAGGUGAAAUAACACCCCCGACGUCACCAGCUAGUCAAUGGCUAACCGGGAGUUGAAUCCCAGGUCCGACUGAUUCUGAAGCCCCGUCUUCAGCACGUCUCGAUACUCCAGGGAUACAGAUUCCACAUCCUCACCACUCCCAGGACUGUGUGCUGUUGUUAUCUUCUUGUUUGCAGAAAGGGCGAUUGUAUUUGUACUGUGCCUGAUGGACGCUGACAGCAGUUCAUUUUAGCAAGUAUAUUUUGCUCAAACCAAAGGAUCUUUGUGCAGCUUUUGCUUUUUAACCCCCGCCUCCACAGUCAAUCCAUGUCAACAGAAGGAAAGUGGAUAGUGAUGAUUCUGAAUCAUUUGUGACAUAUAAAAUGCUACUGGAUAAACAAGCACGCUUCCCUGAGAGAUACGGCAUAUGGCAAGUCGGGUCCCUGCCCCCUGGCUUUU